rnacentral:rRNA from 1 species
CCUUAGUUACCAGCACGUUAUGGUGGGCACGUCUAAGGAGGACUGCCGGUGGACAAACCGGAGGAAGGUGGGGAUGACGUCAAGUCAUCAUGGCCCUUACGGCCUGGGCUACACACGUGCUACAAUGGUCGGUACAAAGGGUUGCCAAGCCGCGAGGUGGAGCUAAUCCCAUAAAACCGAUCGUAGUCCGGAUCGCAGUCUGCAACUCGACUGCGUGAAGUCGGAAUCGCUAGUAAUCGUGAAUCAGAAUGUCACGGUGAAUACGUUCCCGGGCCUU